UUUCGCCUGGCAGGUCAGCUACUCUGUGUUUCAGUCUGAAGCCGUUGGCUGCUACUGAACCGUUUGGCUCUUUUCUCUACUAGCGAGCAAACCUACAAUCUACACCCAACUGUCCAUCCAGCUCAUUUUUAAGGGGAUUUAUCAUUAUAUAUGCCCGUGUAUCCAAAACACAUCGGUCAUUGGGGAUUCCUAGCACCGGUUGGCCGGGUCUGAGGGCCGUUAUAACGCUUUUUUCGAGGUUUAAUUAGAGCUAGAAAACAACGGUGGUGGAGGAGGAGAUUCCAUAUUAGGAGCACAGAGGAGAAGACACCCCCCUUGUGUGAUUUGGAGCUUCUGCUUCUGAGCCCAUGGUACAAGGCCCUGACUGAACAUACCGGUGGUGCAUACAUACUUACUACUGUGGUUAGGUGUGUGCGUGCUGACCUCAUGGUGUAACAGGAGUAAAGAUGAGCAUUAGCAGUGAUGAGGUCAACUUCCUGGUCUACAGAUACCUACAGGAGUCAGGUAUCCUCUCA